CACUCAUUCGUUGAACAGUGUGCAGGCGCAGGUCUUCUGCCGUUACUACAUCGAUAAUAAACUAGAAAUACUACCAAUCUGCCAUACAAAAAAAUAAAUAGCUAGCAAUAUGGGAAUGUAUUGUUUUUGAAAAUAUCAAGAACAACCACAUACUACAGGGACCACAUUCUUUAUUAAGCCAUUUGCGUGGUCUCAUCAAGGAGCUGCAAUGAUCCACGCGAAGGAUAUCAUUUUAGCCUUCCUUCUCUUGGGCUCUACAGUUUGUCUGGAAGUGGAGAUCACCCCCACCCAGGGAGAGAUCAGUGUCGGAGAGUCCAAGUUCUUUCUGUGUGAUGUUGUUGGGGUAGCAAAGGAGAUUGACUGGUAUUCGCCGAGCGGGGAGAGGAUAGAGCCCAACAAACCAGAGAUCACCGUAACCCGAAACGAUGAGUCCUCGUCCACGCUUACGCUCUACAAGGCCGGGGUGGACAGCGCUGGGACCUACAAGUGUCUGGCCACCAACGGAGACCAGUCAGCAGAAGCCACCGUCAACGUCAAGUUCUACCAAAGGAUCACCUUCAAGAACGCCCCCUCCCCCCAAGAGUUCAAUGAAGGGGACAACGCCAAAAUUGUGUGUGACGUCAUCAGCUCCCCUCCCCCCACCAUCAUCUGGAAACACAAAGGAGCUAAGAUUCAGAUGGAGAAGGAUGUCCGCUUUAAGAUCCUGCCCAACAACCACCUGCAGAUCCGAGGCAUCAAGAAGACAGAUGAGGGCUCGUACACCUGCGAGGGCCGCCUCAUGGCCCGGGGAGAGAUCGACCUCAAGAUCAUCAGGGUCAUCGUCAACGUGCUCCCUACCAUCCGGGUGUGGCAGUCUGAGGUGAAUGCCACAGCAGGCGUGGGCCAGUCUGCCAUGUUGACCUGUGCAGCUGAUGGAUACCCAGAGCCAAUGGUGACCUGGGCAAGGGCCGGUGUUCUUCUGGAGUCAGGAGACAAGUACAGCUUUAAUGAGGAUGGUUCAGAGAUGACCAUCAUGGAGGUGGCCAAGCUGGAUGAGGGAGAGUACACCUGCAUCGCUAAGAACAAGGCUGGGGAGAGCGAACAGGAACUCAGCCUCAGGGUGUUUGUGCAACCUAAGAUCACCUUCCUGCUGAACCAGAGCACGUCUGAGAUGGAGGAGCAGGUGACUCUGACCUGUGAGGCGUCAGGGGACCCCACCCCCACCAUCAACUGGAGCUUCGGCCUACGCACCUUCACUGAGGGAGAACAGGCACAUCUUAACAGGAUCUAUCAGGCCUCUUGGACUCGGCCCGAGCUACACAAGAGUCUGGAUGGGAACGUCGUAGUGAGGAGUGAUGCUCGUGUGUCCUCCCUCACGCUGAAGUACGCCAUGUUCACCGACGCUGGCCAGUACCUCUGCUCUGCACGCAACGCCAUCGGAGUGGAUUCUCAACCCGCCUACCUGGAAGUCCGCUAUGCCCCUAAGAUCCAGGGCUCUGUGACAGUGUAUACCUGGGAGGGGAAUGCAGCUAACAUCAGCUGUGAGGUCCUGGCCCACCCCAGUGACGUGUCCAUGCUGUGGCUGAGAGACGGGUUUCAGCUUCCCAACGCUAACGUCACCAAAGCCAAGGUUUUCCAGAGCCCCACAGCCAGCUACCUGGAGGUCACCCCAGAGUCUGAGAAUGACUUUGGGAGCUACAACUGUACUGCUUCCAAUGAGAUGGGCACAGAAUCCAAGGAGUUUCUCCUCAUUCAGGCUGAUGUCCCGUCAGCCCCGUCCCUCGGGGUGGUGGAGCCGUUCUCCAGCUCAGCCAGGGUGGAGAUCCAGGAGCCUGACGCCACCGGGGGUGUACCCGUCCUCCGGUACCGGGCUGAAUGGAAGACUGUGGGCAGGGGCAGCUGGGUGCAGAAGGUCUAUGAGGUCCAAGGAGAAACUCUGAGUGAAGUUACCAUCAUAGGCCUGAAGCCUGAGACCAACUAUGAGGUGAAGAUGUUAGCCAUCAACGGCAAGGGAGAGGGUGAAACUAGCCCCACUCUGGUCUUCAAGACAGAGCCUGUCCGUUAUUCUUACACAAAUGGCAUUUUUCAUUUUUUCACUGAGGACUCAGAAGGGGAACCUGAACCGCCUAAGCUGGAGGGAACACUUCAAACCAAAGGCAACUCCCUCAAAGUAAACUGGAUCAAGCAGGACGAUGGAGGCUCACCCAUCACACACUACCUAGUCCGCUAUAAACCAAAGCAUCAGACCGACUGGAAGCCAGAGAUCCGGCUGCCCAGUGGCAGUGAGUAUGUGGUUCUGAGCGGACUGGAGUGGAACACAGAGUACGAUGUGUUUGUGGUGGCAGAGAACCAGCAGGGGAAGUCCCAACCUGGAACCUUGACCUUCAGAACCUCUCCAGAACCUGCUGCCAUUCCAGAUAUAGACGGGGAGUCUGCCCUCUCCACGGGCAUCAUGGCAGGGAUCCUCAUCUUGGCCUUCGUCCUGCUGCUCCUGGCUGUGGACGUCACCUGCUACUUCACAAACAAGUGUGGCCUCAUCAUGUGUCUGUGUGGCAAGCCAGGCAGCGGGGCCAAGGGACACAACCUAGAACAGGGCAAGGCUGCAUUCAUAAAGGACGAGUCCAAAGAGCCGAUAGUGGAAGUGAGGACAGAGGAUGAGUGCACAGCCAAUCACAAUGCAGGAGGACCCACAGAACCCAAUGAGACCACACCCCUUACAGAGCCAGAAGUCCAACACAGCCCCCCCAACCCCCCUCAUCUCCACCUCUGACAUCACAGCAAUCCCUCUGUUAGACCUUCUAGAAGACAGCUCUCCUAGAGCAGAGGACAAAAUAUCUGCCACUGCUGUUAGUGCCACAGAUUGCCCUAAAUCUCUUAAAAAGUCCCCUAUUCCAAUACCACCUAGGCGUCGAAACUCUAACAGACCUGCUCCUUCUCCUCCCACUCCCAAGAGCUCCACACCUACCCAUUUCACCACUGUGGUCUCCAGGAAAUCUGCCCCAGGCAGUCCCUCUCUUGCCCCCUCCACUGCCUCUCCUAUCCAAAACACGAGGAAAGCUGCUCCCUCUCCUUCUCCUAUGGCGUUCACUUUCCCAGCCUCUGACACCUCCACCGAUAAACCUACACCUACUGCCACCAGCACUGUUACCCCAGUCCCUAGUACCCCUACUGUCCUGGGCUCUAGUACACCAGCCCCUGACCCUGACAAACCUGACUCUACUACCAAAGACACUCACACUCCUGUCCCUAAUAUAGACCCCACUACCACUCCCACACCUGUCCAUAAUAUAGACCCCACUACCACUCCCACAUCUGUCCCUAAUAUAGACCCCACUACUACUCCCGCAUCUGUCCCUAAUAUAGACACCACUACCACUCCUACAUCUGUCCCUAAUAUAGACCCCACUACCACUCCCAUAUCUGUCCCUAAUAUAGACCCCACUACCACUCCCACAUCUGUCCCUAAUAUAGACCCCACUACCACUCCCCCAUCUGUCCCUAAUAUAGACCCCACUACCACUCCCAUAUCUGUCCCUAAUAUAGACCCCACUACCACUCCCAUAUCUGUCCCUAGUGCUCCUACUACUGCCUUCAAUGCUGAUGUAACUUCUGCUAUCGUUCAUGAGGACACAACUAAAUCUGCCCUUGUUUUCCCAGACAUUCUCACUCCUACUCCUGCUCCCACAAGUGCCCCCACACCUGCCCCUAAUGCUCCCACUGCUCCGAGCGUUGCCACACCUGCUGCCCCCACGGUCUCUAUCACACCUGCCUCUACUACCUGCGACACCCCAACACCCACCCUAACCCCCCACAUACCCAUCACCACAGAGCCCCAAGCCCCAGAGAUACAGUUUGAGUUGACCAAUGGGGUGGCGACUAAGAGCCCCUCCCUGCCCCCAGCAGGGUCCACUGAGUUUCAGAGUAGUCCCACUCCCUCCCCUGCCCCUGUCCCUUCCUCCUCCUCCUUCCAGGCUAACGGAGACGGGUUCGGGGCAGACCUCCAGGCCUCAGGCCCUCCUGCUCUGGAGGAGUUAGACAGUCUGGCCAAGGCUGCUCCACUCAACAACGAGAAGAUAUUUGGAGAUGAGAAGAGUAAAGUGGAGGAGGUGAAGACAGCCCAGUCAGAGGUGACCACAGAACACAACGAUGUCACACAGACAAGCGAGAGCAAGGCAUGAUUGGGCAGCCUCAGCCCACCCAAGAUGGCGGCGGCAGCAACACUCAUUACAGUCUGCAGCAGUUUUUCUUUCCAGUGCCCUUUCUGCAUUUCCAGAACAACAACAUGUGUCUGUGCAAUAGAGUCCAUUAGAGCACAAUCUGGUUGUGCAAAAGUCAAAUAUUCUCACGUAUGAUUUGUUUUGCUACACCCAUUGAACACUAAAGAACACAAUUUGAGUGAUCUCAAGUGGUAUAGGAAACAACAUUUCUCAGAGUUAUAAUUGUUUUCAGUGCGGUUGCAGAUAAACAAUGGAUUAUUCAGGAACAUAACAGUGAGUGUACAAACAUUAGGAACACCUUUCUAAUUUUGAGUUGCACCCCCCUUUGCCAUCAGAACAGCCUCAGUUCUUCGGGGCAUGGACUCUACAAGGUGUCGAAAGAAUUCCACAGGGAUACUGGCCC